AGAAGAGGCAUGAUGGGAAGAAGAAGCCUGUCCUUUGUUGGGAGGAGUCAUUUUAACAUGGAGGCUGCUAUUCCAUGUGGCAGCCAUUUUAAGGACAGCAGAGUACUGUGGUCCCUGAAGAUCUGUGAACAUGAGGCCUUGUAUGGUGGAACUACCUUGACUAGACAGCAAUGAAGAGAAGUACGGCUGGGGACACCUUCCUGCUAUGACAGAAGGAAAGAGUUUUGAAGUUUAAGGGACUUUAUACUCUCUCAGAUCUUCAAGUGUGCAAGAGUAUCUUCAGAGGGGCCGGGGAUUUAGCUCAGUGGUUCGGUGGCCUGCCUCACAAGCACAAGGACCCAAGUUCGAUCCCCGGUACCAAAAAAAAACAAAAAAGAACAACAAAAAAAGAGUAUCUUUAUAGGCACAAUGUUGCAUAAAAGAGCUGUAUGAGAUGCUAAUCUUGCACAACUGAUACCCAGUACCCCUUCCCCUGUGCCCUUGCAUUGUACUUUCUGAUACUAAGGUUUUGGUUAUUUUAGACACCUCACAUAAAAGGAACCGCGAAGUGUUUCUUCUUCUGUAACUCGCUCAUUUCAUGCAUCAUGACCAGCCAUCACCGAUGCUCUUGCAUACUGCAGGUCUUUGCUCUGUUGUAAGGCCGAAUUCUGCUGGAGCUUCGGGUGGGGAAGGUGAGGGGAGAUUAGGAUCGUUUAGAAAAGGAAAAGAGGAAACCUGAUGAUGGUGUGG
rnacentral:lncRNA from 1 species